rnacentral:rRNA from 1 species
GAUGAACGCUGGCGGCGUGCCUAAUACAUGCAAGUCGAGCGAACAGACGAGGAGCUUGCUCCUCUGACGUUAGCGGCGGACGGGUGAGUAACACGUGGAUAACCUACCUAUAAGACUGGGAUAACUUCGAGAAACCGGAGCUAAUACCGGAUAAUAUAUUGAACCGCAUGGUUCAAUAGUGAAAGACGGUUUUGCUGCCACUUAUAGAUGGAUCCGCGCCGCAUUAGCUAGUUGGUAAGGUAACGGCUUACCAAGGCAACGAUGCGUAGCCGACCUGAGAGGGUGAUCGGCCACACUGGAACUGAGACACGGUCCAGACUCCUACGGGAGGCAGCAGUAGGGAAUCUUCCGCAAUGGGCGAAAGCCUGACGGAGCAACGCCGCGUGAGUGAUGAAGGUCUUCGGAUCGUAAAACUCUGUUAUUAGGGAAGAACAAAUGUGUAAGUAACUAUGCACGUCUUGACGGUACCUAAUCAGAAAGCCACGGCUAACUACGUG